GCACGUGUGAUGUGACACCACAGGAUGAGGAACUGUGAUGCUGUAAACGCUUUCUGAUGUG
rnacentral:snoRNA from 2 species